UACAUCCGGGUAAAGAACGAGAUAAAAACAUAAUUUAAAUUUGAACACUGUAGAUAAGUACAGUACAAUAAGCAUAUAGGCCUAUUCAACUCGUAUUCUGUUACAGUGUCUAGGAAACAAUACUUUACUCGACGUCAACCGACUGUUACUUGAACGUAAAGAUGAAGAAUAUCCUCUUGAUGAUGAUAAUUCUCUCUGCUUUCUUCUUAAAUGGGGUGGAGUUGGACAGAAAUAGCUGCAGACAUUUAAAACGAUGCGGAAAAUAUGGAUACUACAUAAACUGUUCGAAGUGCUGCAGAGAAUUCGGCCACAAUGGAGGAUAUUGCACUAUGUUCAAGUGUAUAUGCAGAACAUCACCUUGCUAGCUAAUUAAAACAUGAAAGCUGUGAGUUAUUUACGAAAUAAGAAAUUUAAAAUAAUACACGAUAUAACUAGAAAAGACGAUGCAUUAACGUUUGAUCUUUAAUACACAAUUAUAUAUAAUGGAAUGGGCCGUGUGAAAAUCGAAGAAAAAGGAUAAAGCAUAGUAAAGAAAAUUCAAGCCAGAAGGAUGGAACUUCAAUCCCACAAAUUAUAAAUUCAGAUACGUGGACUACAAAGACAAUCGAUGACUAUAAUGGAAAAUGAUUGAUUAAAGAAUGCCUUAGUGUAGGCUACAAUACAGUACACUGCAUAAGAGGUGAAGAGGAAACUCCAGUCCAUAAGAUUAAAAUGAAUUUCGUGACUCUGCACAAUACUUUUCUAUAUUGAAAAGUAGUGGGUGGGGAAGAAAGUCACUUAACACUCCUUGUAUAAAAUAUACAAUGUAUCCAAAGUCAAUACGCUGUUGUCAGGAAGGAAUUAGACAAAGGAGGAAGAAGAUUUUAUUGACAUUCCUCGAACAGUUAUAAAGUUAUGCGCGUUAUAUGAUAUGCUGAAUGUACAUUCUUUAUUCUGUUGCAGGGGUGUUAAGUGACUUUCUUUCCCACCCUAUACUUUUCAAUACAGGAAAGUAUCGUGCGGAGGCGCGAAAUCAAUUCCAAUCAUUGUACAAGAAAGACGAGUCCAUAUAUUUAAAUAUAGUGAAGGGUGCAUCUAACGUACCCCCCUAGGAAGUUCAGGUUUUAAUGAAGGUGUGAAGGCUACAAGUUUGAUACGUCAUUUGACAAAAUUAUAUUCUGAAAUUAUCUGAAUGACGGUUUUUACCCCCCCCCAAGGGUGUCCACUCUAUUUACGAUCAAAAAGGUUUGUGACCCUUUAAGAAAUAUUCAACCCCGAGUUUUGACUACG